rnacentral:lncRNA from 10 species
UACCACCCUCUCAGUGGGGGCAGCUCCAGGCAGAAGAAGCGGAUGUGUGAGAAUCUACAGACGUGGGUUCCAGCCUCCACUCAGCAUUUGUGCUCUGGGGCAAAUCAUCGCCCCUCUCUAGACCUCAGUUUAUUUGCUGGAGUGGGGGCUGGGCUACACGGUCCCUAAAGUUCCCUCCAGCUCUGGCAUUCUACACCUCUGAGCCUUCUGAACCAGAUAAAAAAGGCCUCAGAGUAUUAGAAAGCAAUAGAGACAGAGGGGAGGAGGGCUGAGCCACUCAUGCAGCUAAUCAGGCAGAUGGACAGUAAGACAAGGACAUCAAGGUGCUCAAUUCCUGGUCCAUAGGACCAAAGAUCUGACAGAGGGCUAGACAAUGUCAUGUUGAAGUUCUCAGACAGGCCUCAGUGGAGAGAGUGGGGAAAGCUUGGGGACAGUAAGAUGGAAAGAACCUGGCCUCCAAAGACUAGGGGAGAUAAGGGAACCAGGAAGAGGGCCAUCCACGCUAUGCUCACUGUCAUGUCCUACCCACACAGCCUGCCCCUCUCCUUACCUGCCAUGAUGUUACCAGCUGGCCCAGUGGCCUGCCCACACCUCUUUGUCCUGAACUGCAAGGAAAGAAAAGCCAGAGAAGGAUGAGAUCAGGGCCACACCCAACCCAGUCCCUCUCUACUCCUCAUCUGGGCUGCAAGCUCCCCAGGACAGGACCCAGCACAUACUCCCACAGUGCCGUGAAUGCAAUGGAGGCAGCUCCCCUCCUCCCAGAGCCACCCUUCCACCAGCUGCAUCUUACCAGCUGCUCCCGCCCUCUGCUUCAAGGCACAAAAUCUACUCUCUGAAAACCCCAUCCAAGGGUAGGAAAGGAACCUGGGAGGGGAUCCCAUACAGGGAAAGCCAAGUGACAUUCUAUUCCUUGACCUUGAAUUACAGACUGAGCCUCGGCCUUGGUCACAGGCUAGCCUCCCUUUGCUCCUUUUGCCUUUGUUCAUUUAUUAGGACACUUAUAUGGUGCUGGAAGAAUGAGUGAGACAGAUGUGGUCCCUGCUCUCCCCAUGAAACAGUCAAUCACCUCUGCAGUAAAUCAUACAAAAGGCAAGCACAGCCACCGUGAAAACAUACACAUCAUGUCCUGGUGAUCUAAUCUGGUCUGGAGAGGCAGGGAAAUUAAAUUUUUUUAAUUAAAAAACUUUUUUUGAGACAGGGUCUCUCUCUGUUGCCCAGGCUGGAGUGCAGUGGUAUAAUCCCAGCUCACGGCAGCCUCAGCCUCCCCAGGCUCAGGUGAUCCUCCAAGCGCAGCCUCCUGAGUAGCUGGAACUACAGGCAUGCACCACCAGGCCCAGCUAAUUUUUAUAUUUUUUUGUAGAGAUUAAGUUUCGCCAUAUCGCCCAGGCUAAUUUGAAUUCCUAGGCUCAAGCAAUCCACCUGCUUCAGCCU